GAUGAACGCUGGCGGCGUGCCUAAUACAUGCAAGUCGAGCGAACAGACGAGGAGCUUGCUCCUCUGACGUUAGCGGCGGACGGGUGAGUAACACGUGGAUAACCUACCUAUAAGACUGGGAUAACUUCGGGAAACCGGAGCUAAUACCGGAUAAUAUAUUGAACCGCAUGGUUCAAUAGUGAAAGACGGUUUUGCUGUCACUUAUAGAUGGUUCCGCGCCGCAUUAGCUAGUUGGUAAGGUAACGGCUUACCAAGGCAACGAUGCGUAGCCGACCUGAGAGGGUGAUAGGCCACACUGGAACUGAGACACGGUCCAGACUCCUACGGGAGGCAGCAGUAGGGAAUCUGCCGCAAUGGGCGAAAGCCUGACGGAGCAACGCCGCGUGAGUGAUGAAGGUCUUCGGAUCGUAAAACUCUGUUAUUAGGGAAGAACAAAUGUGUAAGUAACUAUGCACGUCUUGACGGUACCUAAUCAGAAAGCCACGGCUAACUACGUG
rnacentral:rRNA from 1 species